UACGUAGGGUGCGAGCGUUGUCCGGAAUCAUUGGGCGUAAAGAGCGCGUAGGCGGCCCUGUAAGUCCGCUGUGAAAGUCGGGGGCUCAACCCUCGAAUGCCGGUGGAUACUGUCGGGCUAGAGUGCGGAAGAGGCGAGUGGAAUUCCUGGUGUAGCGGUGAAAUGCGCAGAUAUCAGGAGGAACACCAAUUGCGAAGGCAGCUCGCUGGGACGUAACUGACGCUGAGACGCGAAAGCGUGGGGAGCAAACAGG
rnacentral:rRNA from 1 species